UGGACAUUGAAUUCGAAUGUGCGGUCUCCGGUAAACCAGUCCCUACAGUGCAGUGGAUCAAGAAUGGAGAAGUUGUCAUUCCUAGCGAUUAUUUUCAGAUAGUGGGUGGCAGCAACUUGCGAAUUCUAGGACUGGUAAAGUCGGAUGAAGGAUUCUACCAGUGUGUAGCUGAAAAUGACGCCGGGAACACACAGACCAGCGCACAGCUAAUCAUCCCAGAGCCUGCUAUCCCAAGUUCCAGCAUCCUUCCCUCUGCUCCCCGAGAUGUGGUCCCUGUUUUGGUCUCCAGUCG